CUUCGCCAUCGGGGAUCGCCUGACGCCUCUCAUUUUCGGGUUUUGUUUUGGGAUUGGGAAUUUGGGAGUGAGUCAUGGAAAAAUGGUGAAAAAAAAAAAUGAAAUUGGAUAAUUGUAUUUUUUGUUGAUAUUUUUCAUUCCAACAAAAUAAGUAUUAGUUAUAAUUACAAGUUUUUACGUUGUACCUUCAUCAUGGCUGAAAAAAGAAGGAAGAUGAAUUCAAUAUUCUUCCAGAAGUUUCCGCGUCACUCCAACCCUAUGCCUCCAUGAAUCUAAAUUCCUGAAGUACGGCAUCAGGAUUUCAAUUUUGACAGGAAAGUGUUAAAGAAGGCCAAGAAAUUAUGUUAGAGUUUUUGGUUUCUGCGUAGUAAAGCACCAUGUGUAGAGAGAGUUAUGGAUAUUGGCAACAAGAUUCAGUUUGAAACACCUGGUGUAAUCUCAAACUUCAGGAUACAAAAGUACCACUAUGAAGAUUUUAAGAACAAGGAGAAGACACCGUAAUUAUACCCACUGCUAUGGCCCAGCUCUAAUACAUAUUUCAAAUCUUAAUAAUACAGAGCUAUGAAGAAGAAGCACAGGGAGAAGAAUAAAUUUAACUCUACCCUCUAAUACUGCCUGGCUUACUACAUACCACUCACAUUUAUAUGGCAUAACUAAAUCCAACCUUUAUCUGGCAUAUGCCAACAUGCCAAUAGCCAUAGAAACUUGGCAACUUUCAUGAACUUAAGUAACUUGCAGAGCUUGCAUGGAAGAAGAAACA